ACAACCUUCUCCAAUCUUCUUCAGAUGUUGCUUCUUAUCUUCAACCUGUCAGCUAUCAGUGAGUGAGAGACGCAUCCUCCGAUCUAUAAAAGCUUAGAGGUCAUGAAGAAAAAGUGUUUGCUGCUUUGAUGCCUCAUCAGAACAAGAGAUGGUUUCAGCUCCUCUGCUCACUCUGCUGAUAUUUGGGCUGAUGAAACUAAACGCAGGAGGUGAAGCAGAAUAUGAUCCACAGCCAGGAGAAGCAGGAGGAGGAGGAGGAGGAGGAGGAUUAAAAGAACAAAGUGGAGAUGAAGGAAGGCUUCAACCUUCUCCACCUCCUCCUUCAUCACCUCCUCCUUCUCCACCUC